UCUUCUUUAAUAGAAAAUUUUUGAAGAGUCAUUCCCACUACAAAAGUUACCACGAUUGGUCAUGUCACAUUCAAAUAAUCUAAUCCUAUUAGGUCUACACUGACAAAAACUUUUCCUCUUCUCACAAAUCAAUUCUAAUUUUGCUCCUAUUUAAACCCCAUUUCUCCUAUUGAACCUUAUAAACUAAUAAGAUUUUUGUUCUUACAUUCUUCAUAUCUCUUAUUCCUCCUCACCAAAUGGCUUCAUCUUCCUCCCUCUCCACUUUGUCUUCUCAAGAAAAAAUUGACCCACACUUAUCCUCUUCAAUAGAACUUAUUCCAGUCGAGCCUUUCAUACCCACAAUUCCUCUUGUUCCUAUCUUCAAAAUAUCUGAUUUUAAUGCUUGGAAUAAGUUUUGAGCUAUGAUCUACUCAUUAAAUCAACCCUCAUUCGAACAGUUUCAAGAAAUUGUUCCUAUCCAAACUAUUUCUACUUAUGAACCCCUUGCCUCUGACACCAUUCCAGUAAGGGCCAGAUCUAGACUCAAGAAAUUAUUUGGAGCACCUAUUCUUGUUCCUGAAAGUGAAUUUCUUGAAGAACUUAUUACUUUUUCUAUUCCAAAAUUAACCCCCCACACUCGUAAUCGGAAAAGGCAAGAAGAUGUUAUCCUUGAGAAUGCUCUAAGGGCCACUAAAAAACGUCUCAUUCCUGCUGGUUCUCCAUCUUCAGAGGCUACCUUGUCUGACCCUGAUGAUGACUAUCUUCUAAGUUGGUUUUGCUGUGAUAAAAAGGUCAAAAAUAUUAUCCUAAAAUCCAAUUCUUUUUGCUCCACCCAUUUUUCAUCUUUAUCAAAACCUCCUCCAAAAAAAACUUCUAAAUAUGCACCAAAAGAAUUAACCAAAUCCACACACUCCUCUCACACUCCAAAGAAAUAGGUCACUCCACCUGCUCCAUCAAUUCCUCAAUUUUCCUCUCAAUCCAUUGCUACAUUUAAGCCUAUCUUCCAUCUCUUAAUGACAUAAUCAAAUUUCAAAAGCAAAAAGUGGUGCGAGGUAGAGUUAUUACUAGGUAUGGGGGCCUGAAAUAGUUGUUCUUCUUACCAAAAUUAUUGCACAAGGGUAUUCAACACUUUUCCUUCAAGGAACCACUCAACGAAGGCUAAGAAAGAGAUGACUAAGUUCUAUAUCAAUGGAAAGUUUGAUUGCUCUGUAUUUAUCUCUAAUGUGCUUGGAUUUCAAAUUAAGCUUACUUGUGAUGUUGUGGCUCGUAUUUUGGAUAUUCCUUCUGGAGGUUAGAGUCAUUAUGUGACGUAUGGGUGGCCCCCUCUCCAUACCCUUUACGCAACCUUGAAAAUCACUAGAAAGUUCUCAUACAGCCUACUCUCACUCACCAUCCUACAGUUGAAAAAUAUAAAAUAUCUCAACUACAUCAACUUUAUUUUGAUGUAGUCCAUAAGAUGAUUCUCCAAAGAAAAUAGAGAAAGACUGAGGCAUAUUAUUUGGAUAUGAACUUAAUGGAGCUGCUGGAUUCUGAGAUCAAAAUUGAUCUCUCUAGGCUUGUUUUGAAUCUAUGACACCUCAUAGUUUUCUCGACUUGAUAUCACUUCGUAGUAUGCUUGGAGGGUCAACCUUCUGAAAAUUUUUCUAAGUGUCAAAAGGACUUAUUUACAUUUUGAACCCCUAACCUUUGAUAAUUUUCCUUUUGACCUUUUCGACCUCAGAAAGUUAAUUUUUAAGUUGAUUCAUGAUUGAGGAAGUUAAUAGUAUAUCUCGGGUAAGUCUCAAAAUUUUUGGACAACGUUAGAGGUGUAUUUGGGUGUUGGAAGAAGUGGCCUGAUGCAAAGUCAGCACGCCGUGUCGAUGAAGUAGUGUUGCUUCAAGUCCCUAAUCAAAACCCUAGUCCCUACUUCCCUCUCUCAUUCUCAAGUCCCUAAUCAAAACCCUAGUCCCUAAUCAAAACCUACGUCAAUGAAGUAGUGUUGCUUCAAGUCCCUACUUCCCUCUCUCUAAUCAAAACCCUAGUCCCUCCCCCAUAGAUAAAGAGUUCAUCAUUGAAGUCAAGGAUUUCAAGAACUUAAGUGUGAUUCGGAUUCCACUCUUCCUUCUAAGCAAUCUAAGGAUUUGAGGCUCAGUCUAGAGGUUCUGCUAAGUCGUAGACUUGUUCCAACAGAAGAGAAGUGUGUGUAGUUGGUAAGUCUUCUUUAUUCCGGAAGGCCUAUUUCUUUUCAGUUAGUUGUUAUUUUACUUAGUUUUGGUCCACUGGGGACCUUGUCCUAGAUUUAGACAAGUUAUUGACAUCUUAUGUAGUAAGGAUUUCGCAGAUGAGAAAGAUGUUGUUUAGAUGUUGAAAACUUAUUGUACAUAUUGUCGAGCAGAUUUUAGAUUUAUGACCAUGAUUCCGUUUAUUAUAAUUCCACAUCUUUUAUUUAUUAUUCGAGUAUUGUGCAUGAUUACUAGAUGUAGAAGAGUGAUUGAGCCUCCAUGGUUCGGGGUGCUUGUCACAGCCAGGGCCCCGGCUCGGGUCGUGAUAGAAACACAUGAAUUGAGUGCUUCAUUAGGAUAAAAUGGUCAUUACUUGGAUUAUAGGUUCUAGCUUGGGGAAAUAUUUGAGGAGCUUGAUAUUCCAAUUCUAGUUUGGGAAUAUCAUACCACCAAAGAUGUUAUUGGCAGGGUUCGUUACUCCUCUCUUCCUGAUUCAAUGAGACGCGCAAACACUCCACUUCAACAGGCUCAAAAUGCAUUGGAAGAGAAAAUUAAAUAACUGGACGAAGCUAGGGUUUAUCAUACUUAGGACACUGCUAUACUUAGAGCUAGAAUUGCUGAACUUAAGAAUUAACCGCUCAGGAGAGGGUUACUAAUGCUGCUACUAUUCAUCGUUUGACACAACUGAUAUCACCUUCUCCUUCUGCAUAAUUAGUGUCCUCUCUUAGCUCCCUAGGAUCCCUUGUUUUUGUCUCCUUCCCUCCUAUGCUCAAUUGUGUUUCUUUUCUUUUGGUUUGUUUCUUAGAAAUGUGAUGAUCAUACUUUGGAAAUGAAUGUAAUGAAAUCGUUUGUUUGAAUGUUUUCUAUUACAUCCUUGUUUAUUGCACUUUAAUUUUGAUUGAUAAGUUCUGAUUGUCUUGGUGAUAGCCCCAGUGUCCAUGAGUAGCUUAACUCUUGUUUUUUCUUCUUUCAAUGUUUUGUUUUUCAAUGAUGCCAAAAGAGGUAAAAUUCACCUAGAUUGUACAAUGCUUAUAACCCAACGUCUAACCAGUUUCAUUCUUGUGUCUCUUGCUUAAAUCUUUUAGGAAAUAUGGUGUAUGCCUAGAGGCAUGGUUUAUCAUUAUCAAAAAGGGGGAAUUUAUUGGUGUCUUGAAGUUUUGAUGAAUGAAAAAAAAAGAGUGAAACAUGUUGUUAAAUCUGUUCCACUUUCGAGAGUGAAAGUCCACUGUAUAUGAAGACAAGAAGACUGAAUUAAAGAAGUAGAUAGAUAACUUCAAAUUAACUAUCACGUGUGUAGAUGAAGAUAUUGAGUUUGAUUACAGUACUUGAAGAUAAGAGAGAGAUAUAUUGAUUUGAAGAAGGAGUUCUACUUCAACAAGGAGAUCAACUUCAAGUAGGACUUCUACUUCACAAUAAACACUAAAGAGUAGGGAGUUUCACAGGAUAUAGAAGACACAUCUAAUGAAGGACUCUUUGGAGAGUCGUGUAUAAAUAGAGGGAGUGACUUGCACAGUCACUCACACACUUACAAAGAAAAAGGCAAUUGAAAAAUUGAUUGAGAAGUUCAUGGCUUGAAGAAACACGUAGUUGAACCUAGUUCUUCUACUUAGAAAAUAAGGUGUCGUAGUUUCUAUGUAUUAGAUUUGUUAUUGAGUUCUAACACUGAUAUAAUUCUAGUUUCAGUGAAGUAUAAACUGAAGUAGGAUUUUUGUCUUCAAGUUUGGGAACUCGAAUACUUGGGAACACUUACUUUGAGAGGUUUGUGUGUUUUGUGAAGUAGGGGUUAGAGUUUAUAAUUCCUAGAUUACAUAGUCUUGUAAUUUGUUGUUUGUUGAGGCUUAAAGUUGUUUAGUGAAGUUAGGGGUGAAAUCCUAUAGAGGUACAAGUCAUGGUUUUUUAUACCAUUUUGAGCUGGAUGUUUUUCAUAUAAAAAUUACCGUCUUUUUUGC